GUACUCCCUUUAGCACCUACGGUAAAAUUGGAAAGAUACAGAGAAAGCUAUCAUGGCUCCUGUGCAAGGGUGACAUGCAAGUCAGCGAAGCAUUCCAUAUAUUU